UACGAAGGGGGCUAGCGUUGUUCGGAAUUACUGGGCGUAAAGCGUGCGCAGGCGGCCUUCCAAGUCAGGGGUGAAAGCCCAGAGCUCAACUCUGGAAUUGCCUUUGGGACUGUGAGGCUUGAGUACGGGAGAGGUGAGUGGAAUUCCCAGUGUAGAGGUGAAAUGCGUAGAGAUCGGGAGGAACACCAGUGGCGAAGGCGGCCGGCUGGGGGUGACCUGACGCUGAGGCGCGAAAGCGUGGGGAGCGAACCGG
rnacentral:rRNA from 1 species